rnacentral:rRNA from 1 species
CCUACGGGGGGCAGCAGUAAGGAAUAUUGGUCAAUGGAGGAAACUCUGAACCAGCCAUCCCGCGUGAAGGAUGAAGGGGCUCUGCCUUGUAAACUUCUUUUGUCUGGGGCGAAAAAGCUCGAUUUAUCGAGAACUGACGGUACCAGAAGAAUAAGCACCGGCUAACUGCGUGCCAGCAGCCGCGGGAAUACGGAGGGUGCAAGCGUCACUGGGAAUCACGGGGUCGAAAGGGUCCUAGUGCGGCUUUGGAGAAAGGCUGUGGCUUAACCCUGGAAUUGCCAUUGAUACUGCAGAGCUUGAAUGAGGUUGAGGUUGGCGGAAUGUGACAUGUAGCGGUGAAAUGCUUAGAUAUGUCAUGGAACACCGAUUGCGAAGGCAGCUGACUGGACCUAUAUUGACGCUGAGGCACGAAAGCGUGGGGAGCGAACAGGAUUAGAUACCCGAGUAGUC